GGCCAGCUGCUGGGGCUGGUCAAAAGGAACCAGAUCGCCUCUCCACCUGAUUUGGUCCCCUUCAACCGGCUGCAGCGGGUUGCCGGC
rnacentral:pre_miRNA from 13 species